UCUUUUAAAGGGGCCUUUUCACAGAUUUUGGCAUUUUUUUAACUUAUUCAUUAAAUGCUUUAUAUUGAUAAAUGUAAACAUUGGAUCGUAAAAGCUCCAGUAAAAAAUCAAGAAAAAAUUAAAAAAAGGAAAAGAACAUUGCCCGGAGCAGGUUUCGAACCAGUGACCCCUGGAGUCCUGCCAGAGUCCUGAAGUAAAAACGCUUUAGCCUACUGAGCUAUUCCGCCGAGUACACAUUCUUGUCGUAUUUUAUACCUUAUAUAAGCAAUCUUCGUAGUUUCACAAAAUUUAACGACAAAAACAGAACUCUCCAAAUUAUUCAAUCGUUUUGCGUUGCAACGCUUUAUAAUUUUUAGGUUUUAAAAUCGUCAAAAGAUGCAUAUAAUGGCUAUAUUAGACCAUGGUAAAUGUUCAGUAUUA